UACGGAGGGUGCGAGCGUUGUCCGGAAUCAUUGGGCGUAAAGGGCGCGUAGGUGGCUUCUUAAGCGUGCGGUGAAAGCCUGGGGCUCAACCCCGGGUCGGCCGUGCGAACUGGGGGGCUGGAGCACUGUAGAGGCAGGCGGAAUUCCGGGUGUGAGCGGUGGAAUGCGUAGAGAGUCCGGAAGAACACCGGUGGCGAAGGCGGCCCGCUGGGCAGGAAGGUGAGGAGCAAUCCUCGCCGGCUGACGCUGAGGCGCGACAGCGUGGGGAGCAAACAGG
rnacentral:rRNA from 1 species